rnacentral:tRNA from 1 species
AGAGACUUAGGUUAACAUAAACCAUGAGCCUUCAAAGCUCACAACGGGGGUUAAAAACCCCCAGACUCUG